rnacentral:lncRNA from 1 species
AAUCCACUUGGCCAGCCAAGCAUAUAACGAAAAGCCUGCCUAAAGAGAAAUGUUUUCAGAAUAAAAUAAUCUCUUUUUAAAAAAAUCUCCUAGGUAAACCAUUCAUCUAAAGGGAAGCUUGCCUGGAGAGAAAGGUCUUCGUCUGCUUGCAGAAGGACAGCAAAGAUGGGGUCAGAUGUUUCAGAGACUGGUCAAGCUAUGUUACAGAGCAUUCUGCGUAGGCACCACCGUCUCAGGCAAAAUUCAGAAGUCCCGGCUUCGGAGAGCUGUAAGAAAUACAGAAGGAAGAAACACAGGCAUCCGCUGAAGGAAUUAAUCCCGGAGAUGAAAGGUAACAAAUAGAGUCAAAACAAGGGAGAGGAGGGGAGUGACAGAGAUAAAAUGUGACAAGGCAAGGGAUGUAAAACCACAAAGCGUUAUAUGGCAAGGAAGGGAGAUGUUCUCCUCCUUUAGGGGAAAGCCUUCGAAAGACAAAAUGUGAAAGAUGUUUAAUGACCGCUUUUGACCUCUGGCCUUUUUGACCUUUCCACAGGCUCCCAAAAUAAAUCCCACGGCCGUUCCAGAAAGAUGGGAAUCGCAAGCCACUGAAGGCCAUCCCAACUGAGGAGGGGGGGGGACCACAAAUAAAUAAAAUACAAUUCCAAAAAUGAUUUCACUAUUGUGUGAGAAAAAGACCCUGAUGUUGGGAAAGUGUGAAGGCAAGAGGAGAAGGGGAUGACAGAGGAUGAGAUGGUUGGACAGUGUCACCGAAGUGACCAACAUGAAUUUGACCCAACUCCGGGAGGCAGUGGAAGACAGGAGGGCCUGGCGUGCUCUGGUCCAUGGGGCCACGAAGAGUCGGAAAAGACUUCUCGACUAAACAAAAACAAUUGUUGGAGGAGGAACGUAGAAGCCCCAAGUGGCCUCUGGUUCAAAGCACAGAAAGGAUCAUCAUGAUUAAGAGAGCAUCUCGGCUCAAGGCCCGCGUUUAUCAUAAUUAUCCAAGCAAAUGCAGUUUCUUGAAGGCCAAUACUAGGCAUUCCAAUUCAAAAUGUUGCUCCACCCCAAAUUCAAAUAAAUAUACGAUUUAUGUUCUCAUCUCCGCACAGCAAGAGAUUGCCUUUGAGCUAAACCCAAGACUCAGCAAACUCCAACAUUAUCUGUUCAAUAAAGAAAAGAUCGUUUCAAAGGCAAAAG